UACGUAGGGACCUAGCGUUGUCCGGAAUCAUUGGGCGUAAAGCGCGCGUAGGCGGCCCGGUAAGUCCGUUGUAAAAGUCGAAGGCUCAACCUUCGAAAGCCGAUGGAUACUGCCGGGCUAGAGUACGGAAGAGGCGAGUAGAAUUCCUGGUGUAGCGGUGGAAUGCGCAGAUAUCAGGAGGAACACCAAUUGCGAAGGCAGCUCGCUGGGACGUUACUGACGCUGAGACGCGAAAGCGUGGGGAGCAAACAGG
rnacentral:rRNA from 1 species